GUCUCGAAACCCCUCGCGCGACCCCACACCCAGCUGGAAUUCGGCAAAAGCCGGAAACAGGUGUGUCCCCAGGACAGACGCGCCUGGAGAGGAGCGGCAGAGGGCGCAGGCGCGCGGCCCCCGCCCGGCCCAGCCCGGUCCACAGGCAGCUAGCCAUCCCGCUGCCCUUCACCUGAGCGGCGGCGGAAGGCGAGGAGCCACGAGGGAGCAGGUCUCCAAAACAGUGAGCUGCUAAAGCAGAGAGGCUGCUCUGAAUUUAAAAAGUUAUUUCUGUUCGUUUAUUCCUUGCCAUGGGCACCCACAGUGUCUCAGGAACCAUAGUAGGUUCUGGGGACUAAAGAUGCGUCGGACAGGAUCCUUGGACUGAAGAAACUGCCGUCUUGUGAAAGAAACACCCCUCCUUUCAAGCUCUCCGACCUGUGCCCUCAUUUCGGCCUCAGCCCCAGACAUCACUUAUUCUACAGCAAAUUCCAUCUGUGUCAUGAGGUGCCAGCAGAGGGCUUCCCUGCCGAAAGUCAAAUCAUCAUGUCCCUGGAACACGCUGCGUUUAUUCACGGUCAAUUGCCAUAGUUCAACUGGAAACAGCUCUAAGAACCCAUAGAUUUUUUUAUUGCCACUAAUAGAAAGAUCAUGAUUUAUAGACAGAAUUUAAAAGGUCCAAUUAGCUACCCAUAUAGGACACAAGAAGAAAACCUUUAGCAAGAGACGUUUCUUUUGCUUUCUCUCUCCUAGUCAGAUAGGACUUUGGAAAAGGCCCAGUGUGCUUCCAUCAGCCCUAAUCUUCAAGUUCAUAGAAAGAAAUGGACUCACAUCAUGGGGUUCUGCUACCCCCACGGCUUAUUUCCCACGAUAUGAAAGAGUACAGUUGCCAAGACCAGGAUACCUGCCUUGGGUUGUGUUUGCAGCCAGCAACCCUGAGGGAUGAGGUAACGUUUUCCCCUGGACAACGCAGGCUUGCGUCUGCUUACUCUGGCGCAGCCACCAAGAUCAGUGCUCCUCUCCUGUAAUGCAGUCACUGCGUGUGCAGGCAUCCGUGGUGGACUCUGCAUCACCCCAUGGGACUCAGAGGGCGUGGGAACCUGGACAAACAUCAGAGUGACACUCUGCCUGCUGCUUUUGCCGCUGGGAGGCGAGACCAUGUGAAGACACAGGGAACGUGGAAGGCCAUCUACAAGCCAAGGAGACGGGCCUCAGAAGAAACCAACCCCCUGAUGCCUCGAUCUCCAACUUGCAGCCUCCAGAACUGUGAGAAAAUAAAUUUCUCUUGUGUAAGCCACCCAGCCUGUGCUCCUUGUUCUGGCAGCCCCAGCAAACUAAUACAAAUACUGAUAAAAACGAAGCCAAACAUUUAAAAGUAAUAAUAAAUAACUUAGUUGAAAGUUUAUUUUUUUUUUCUUGAAGAUUUUACUUUUUCCUUUUUCUCCCAAAGCCCCCAGUACACAGUUGUGUAUUUUUAGUUGUGGGUCCUUCUAGUUGUGGCAGGUGGGACACCGCCUCAGCAUGGCUUGAUGAGCAGUGCCAAUGUCCACGCCCAGGAUCCGAACUGGUGAAACUCUGGGCCAUGGAAGCAGAGCGC
ensembl:lncRNA